UACAGAGGUCUCAAGCGUUGUUCGGAUUCAUUGGGCGUAAAGGGUGCGUAGGUGGCGCCGUAAGUCGGGAGUGAAAUUUCGGAGCUUAACUCCGAAACUGCAUUCGAUACUGCGGUGCUUGAGGACUGGAGAGGAGACUGGAAUUUACGGUGUAGCGGUGAAAUGCGUAGAUAUCGUAAGGAAGACCAGUGGCGAAGGCGGGUUUCUGGACAGUUCCUGACGCUGAGGCACGAAGGUCAGGGGAGCAAACGGG
rnacentral:rRNA from 1 species